rnacentral:misc_RNA from 1 species
GUCCCCCUCUUAAACCCUUCUCUUUUCCCGAAUCCAAUAAAAUCCCCUAACCCCGGCCACCAUCGAAAGCUCAAAACCCCCCCCAAAAAGUCCAUAUGGAGCCAAAAGCAGUGAAAUCUGACCUAGUCCUUAUCCUGGAUUAUGGCUCCCAGUAUACCCAUCUCAUCACUCGCCGAAUUCGCUCCCUUAACGUAUUCUCCCUCUGCAUUUCUGGCACUUCCCCUCUCGAUGCUAUCACUUCCCUCAACCCUAAAGUCAUCAUCCUCUCCGGAGGGCCCCACUCUGUCCAUUCUCCUAACUCCCCCACCUUUCCUUCUGGGUUUGUGGAAUGGGUCCAGUCCAAUGGGUGCUUCGUGCUUGGCAUUUGCUAUGGGUUGCAGUUGAUAGUGCAGAGAUUGGGAGGGGAAGUAAGGGUUGGAGAAAAGCAGGAGUAUGGGAGGAUGGAAAUUGAGGUCGAAAAGAAUUUGGGUAUUCUUGGGAAUAAAAAAAUUGGGGAUAGGCAGGUGGUUUGGAUGAGCCACGGGGAUGAAGUUGUGCGUUUGCCCGAGGGUUUUGAAGUGGUGGCCAGAAGCCAACAAGGUGGGGUUGCGGCAGUGGAGAAUCGGGAGAAGAGGUUUUGUGGUUUGCAGUACCACCCGGAGGUGACUCAUUCACCAGAGGGCAUGGAUACCCUACGCUAUUUUCUCUUUGAUUUUUGUGGAGUUGGUGCAAGCUGGAACAUGGAAAAUUUGGUGGAUGAAGAAAUCAAGGUGAUCAAAGGCACAGUGGGGCCUGAAGAUCACGUCAUAUGUGCAUUGUCAGGGGGUGUGGA